AUGGAGGGCUCCCGGGGGAGGUGGAGGUGGGGUGGCAGGCGCAGAUCCAUGCUAAUGGUGGCGCUGGCCCUGUGCUUCGUCGUGGUCGUCUCCCUGUGCUGCUGCGCCCGGCCCGGGGCUUGCAGUGGCAGUGGCUGCAGUGGGAGGAGUACCGUGGUGGCGCUCCGUUCAGAUUUUUGGAGACGAACAGCAGCAUCGUUCGGUAAUCAGGAGCGGUCAGGAGCCAGCGGGAGCGGAGGACGGCGGCGGCUGCUGGUGGUGGCCGGGCCGGGGUCGUACCCGCCGCGGUGCACGGGCAAGUGCGGCAGCUGCAGCCCGUGCUACCCGGUGCACGUGGCCGUGCCGCCGGGGGUGCCGGUCACCACGGAGUACUACCCGGAGGCGUGGCGGUGCAGGUGCGGCAACCGGCUCUACAUGCCAUGA
rnacentral:rRNA from 1 species